GCUUACGGCCAUACCACCCUGAGCACGCCUGAUCUCGUCUGAUCUCGGAAGCUAAGCAGUGUCGGGCCUGGUUAGCACUUGGAUGGGAGACCGCAUGGGAAUACCAGGUGCUGUAAGCU
rnacentral:rRNA from 1 species